rnacentral:rRNA from 1 species
UACGUAUGGUGCAAGCGUUGUCCGGAAUGACUGGGUGUAAAGGGAGCGUAGGCGGGAUGGCAAGUCAGAUGUGAAACCUGAGGGCUCAACCUUCAGACUGCAUUUGAAACUGCUGUUCUUGAGUGAAGUAGAGGUAAGCGGAAUUCCUGGUGUAGCGGUGAAAUGCGUAGAGAUCAGGAGGAACAUCGGUGGCGAAGGCGGCUUACUGGGCUUUUACUGACGCUGAGGCUCGAAAGCGUGGGGAGCAAACAGG